UAGAGUUUGAUCCUGGCUCAGGACGAACGCUGGCGGCGUGCCUAAUGCAUGCAAGUCGAGCGACGCAUACUGGAGGGGUAACCCACCGGUAUGACGGAGCGGCGAACGGGUGAGUAACACGUGAGUAACCUACCCCGAAGACCGGGAUAACCCAGGGAAACCUGGGCUAAUACCGGAUACUCUCGGACCUUCGCAUGGAGGACCGAGGAAAGCUUUAGCGCUUCGGGAUGGGCUCGCGGCCUAUCAGCUAGUUGGUGGGGUAACGGCCCACCAAGGCUUUGACGGGUAGCUGGUCUGAGAGGACGAUCAGCCACACUGGGACUGAGACACGGCCCAGACUCCUACGGGAGGCAGCAGCAGGGAAUCUUGCGCAAUGGGCGAAAGCCUGACGCAGCAACGCCGCGUGGGGGAUGAAGGCCUUCGGGUUGUAAACCCCUUUCAGGAGGGAAGAAAAUGACGGUACCUCCAGAAGAAGCCCCGGCCAACUACGUGCCAGCAGCCGCGGUAAUACGUAGGGGGCGAGCGUUGUCCGGAAUUAUUGGGCGUAAAGAGCUCGUAGGCGGCUCAGCAAGUCGGCUGUGAAAUCCCGAGGCUCAACCUCGGAACUGCAGUCGAUACUGCUGUGGCUAGAGUCUGGUAGAGGAGAGUGGAAUUCCCGGUGUAGCGGUGAAAUGCGCAGAUAUCGGGAGGAACACCAGUAGCGAAGGCGGCUCUCUGG
rnacentral:rRNA from 1 species